rnacentral:rRNA from 1 species
CACGCCGUAAACGAUGGAUGCUAAGCAUUGGGAGUUUCGACCCUCUCAGUGCUGUCUGCCUAAGUUAACACCUUAAGCAUCCCGCCUGGGGAGUACGGCCGCAAGGCUAAAACUCAAAGGAAUAGACGGGGACCCGCACAAGCGGUGGAGCAUGUGGUUUAAUUCGACGAUAAGCGUGGAACCUCACCAAGGUUUGACAUCUGGCUGCAGACUCCUGGAAACAGGAGAGCCUUCGAGGGUGCCAGACAGAUGC